rnacentral:rRNA from 1 species
UAAGGAAUAUUGCUCAAUGGGAGAAAUCCUGAAGCAGCAACGCCGCGUGGAGGAUGAAGGGUCUAUGACUUGUAAACUCCUGUAAAGAAGGAAAAAAUUCCCAUUAGAUGGGAGAUGAUGGUACUUCUGGAGGAAGCCCCGGCUAACUACGUGCCAGCAGCCGCGGUAAUACGUAGGGGGCGAGCGUUGUCCGGAUUUACUGGGCGUAAAGGGUGAGUAGGCGGUAAUAUGUGUCAGAUGUAAAAGGCUAUGGCUUAACCAUAGUUGGCAUUUGAAACUGUAUUACUUGAGUGCAGGAGAGGUAAGUGGAAUUCCUAGUGUAGCGGUGAAAUGCGUAGAUAUUAGGAGGAACACCAGUGGCGAAGGCGACUUACUGGACUGUAACUGACGCUGAGUCACGAAAGCGUGGGUAGCAAACA